rnacentral:rRNA from 1 species
UACAGAGGGGGGCAAGCGUUGUUCGGAAUUACUGGGCGUAAAGGGCGCGUAGGUGGCCUUCUAAGUUGAACGUGAAAUCCCUGGGCUCAAUCCAGGAACUGCGUCCAAGACUGGGAGGCUUGAAUCCGGGAGAGGGAUGCGGAAUUCCAGGUGUAGCGGUGAAAUGCGUAGAUAUCUGGAGGAACACCGGUGGCGAAGGCGGCAUCCUGGACCGGCAUUGACGCUGAGGAGCGAAAGCCAGGGGAGCAAACGGG